UGCUGGUCCUAGUAAACACACUGACAACUAACACAGCUAGUCCUAGUAAACACACUGACAGCUAACACAGCUGGUCCUAGUAAACACACUGACAACUAACACAGCUGGUCCUAGUAAACACACUGACAGCUAACACAGCUGGUCCUAGCAAAAACACUGACAGCUAACACAGUUGGUCCUAGCAAACACAGUGACUUUCCUCCUAUUUCGAUUUUUCAUUUGGCUUUUACAAGUUCCAAAGUUACAGCCUAUUAGGUGUCGAACCGAGACGUUCUCCCACCAUAUGGGUGGGUCGGGGGAUGGAUAUUUGAGAGUAUUUUCAGAGUAUUACGAAGGUGAAUUUAUAGGGAAAUAGUUGUACACUGUGUUUGUGGAAAGAACUGUAAAGGUAAAGGCGUUACCGUAAUUCAGCUACCCUGGGGGCAGAGGGCCCAGCUCUCUGUGCUCCUGUGUAAACUUGUAAGGCAGAUGAGAAGCAGAGUGUGAGUCAAUAAACUAUGUGUGUGUGUACCCACCCUGAUGAAGAGGUGGGUACAGCAGUGAGACAGAAUAACUUCCAACAUCCUGUCUUCUGUCUGUUUUCACCAGAGGAAUCCUCUACUGGCUGACUGCUGUCUCACGGAGACAUUCUGUCUGGUUCUACUUUUCUGACAUUAUUCAGCUGGGAGAGACAGUCUCAAACAUGGCAGGAUUGGCAGCCAUGGGGAGCCAGCUGUGGUAUAAGCGGGAUCAUUCCUCCGUUCUGUACAUUACCUGGGGGGGAAAAGGAACUCCACCAACGGACUCAGCCUCGUCCUGCUGCGUCGUCCAUUACUUCCAAGGUAAUGUACAGAACGUGUGCGUUUAUCCCUUACUUAUUUGAUUCAUUAGCCUUGUGUUUUUCAGAAGUGAGCCUCGGGGGAGAUCCUCUUACUGAUGGGGCAGCAGAGUAAUUAAAAUCUUGAACCUUUGCCAUGGUUACCGUGGGUACAUCCUCAUCAGAUGCUAAUUUACAUUGCCAAUAGAACUGUCUGUGGGGGACAAUAAGGUAGAAUAAAACAAUGAUAGGGUUCUUAUAGAAUGAUGCAGAUUUAGUUCAGUAAAGUGUCGUUCAUACUGGAUUUAUCCCUCAAUUUAAUGUUAAGUCUCCUGGGUGGUUGAAUAUAGAAAUAUUCAAUACAGCCUCAUAAUAAAUCUGUGAAACAUUUAUCGCUAAAACAUGCUCGCAUUCACUUGCAUUACAUCUCUGUUCUCACAGCUGACCAUGCUAACAUUGGAGACAUCAAUGAAGACGUCGCCCUUCCACCCUAGAUCUUGUGGUCUUGGAAUUUAACAUUUAUUUGACCAUUCUUGAUCUCAUGAGUAGCUUUCAUUGAGCAGUGUUGUCUAUCUAUUGUGAUGAUGAAUGGGUGUGUGGACGGGAUGCAGCGAAGCAGCCGAGCCUUGGAGGCUGACCCCAUCUGGCUUCAGCCUGGUUAUGUUCUAGAGUGAGUUCCAGCCCCAUCCCCAGCCUCAUCACAAUAGAGUCCCCAAGGUUCCCCCUGCUCCCCAGCCUUUGUCUUCACAUUGGCUUACCUUUUGUCUCAUGACGUGGAGAAGGGAUAGAUGGGGAAAAGAGAGCCCUAGCCCUUAAUGGAGACAGCGUCCUUGAAAUAACCCAGUGGAAAUUACGCUUCCCCAGCAUGUUACACGCUUCCGUGAGCAUACAGCCAGGGCUGGGGCUGAGGCAGAGGGAGGGAAGGCACCACAGUAACUAGGUGGCUGUGUUAUGUUUGGAGGCAGAGUUUCAUCCAAUGUGCCAGUGACAUGCAGUAGAGGGUUUAAUAACCAUUCAGUGGGAGUUGCAUCAUUCCUCUCUGUUGGAUAAGACCACCCUGGAACGUAUUAUGUGAGUACUGCUUACGCUGUGAAGGCUGUAUAUUGUGGAAAGUUGUUGUAAUGUAUGAGUGUAGCUAUUUAUUAUGAUGUCAUAGAGAGCGGUAGCAUCUUGAGAUUCUUUACAUGCUGAUUCAUGAUAUCAACAGUAUACUUUUACUUGUAAAUGAGUUACAGGAAUCCUUUCGAUUUUUUGUUUGAAGGAUAUCACAUUACUUUUGUGGAGCAUUACCCUCUUAUUUAGUAUAUUU
rnacentral:lncRNA from 1 species